AUGCAGGCCUUACCCAAAGCCAUAUGCAAGCUUUACCCAAAGCCAUAUGCAGGCCUUACCCAAAGCCAUAUGCAGGCCUUACCCAAAGCCAUAUGCAGGCCUUACCCAAAGCCAUAUACAGGCCUUACCCAAAGCUAUAUACAGGCCUUACCCAAAGCUAUAUACAGGCCUUACCCAAAGCUAUAUACAGGCCUUACCCAAAGCCAUAUGCAGGCCUUACCCAAAGCCAUAUGCAGGCCUUACCCAAAGCUAUAUACAGGCCUUAACCAAAGCCAUAUAUAUAUUUUUUUUUUGGUCAACUGUCAAACAAACCAAAAUGUAACUUUCAACUCCAAGAAAACACAGAGAUUUACUAUACCUUUUCUGCUACCUUUUUCUCUUCAUGGGCUCUGUUCCAUCGUCUCUAUGAUGUAAUCUAACAGCGUGGAUGAGAUACUGUCUAACUGACAUAAAUACGUUUCCUCAUACAAAGGAUGAUGCUGAAACAAGCAACUUGUCUUUUAAAAAAGCAACGUCAGUGAAUGUCUUGAGUUCAGUAACUGUUUUAUUCAAACCGUUAUAACAUGGCCAACAUGGUCAUAUUAUAUACCCUUAUAACAUGGUUAUAACAUGGUUAUAACAUGGUUGUAACAUGGCCAACAUGGUCAUAUUAUAUACCCUUAUAACAUGGUUUAACAUGGUUAUAACAUGGUUAUAACAUGGCCAACAUGGUCAUAUUAUAUACCCUUAUAACAUGGUUUAACAUGGUUAUAACAUGGUUUAACAUGGUUAUAACAUGGUUGUAACAUGGUUAUAAUAUGGUUGUACAGGUCAAGCCAGCUGUAAAAACAACAUCAUGUAAAUGUCUAAUAGUUGUUGGCUUCAUUUCUGAAAUAUGUGUGAGUAAAUGGAUUCAAGUUGUUCCUGAAUGAAUUAUUCUGACAAAUUAGUGUUGGUCACUUAACACUUGAUCCCACAUACUUGAUCUCACAUACUUGAUCCCACAUCGUUACAAGGCUGUAAUACGAACUCUAGUCACCAGAAAUGUAGAUUUUAGAUUCAAGCAAAAGUUAAUAAGCAUUUAUAAGUUACUUCGAAGCAAUUAUCUAAUGAAUGUUUUAUAAACAAUGCUAAUAACACAACUAAAUGCACAGGAAAAAGAGUAUUUACAGAGGAAAAAGGCACAGUGAUGACCGAUUGAUCCUGGUCACAGGGAUCAGCUGGUCUGCAGCUUGGCAACAGGCAAGUGGUGUCAUCCUCCUUCGCUUUCGAAUUAGGACAUUCAUGCAGAUUCUUCAUCCACAAUAAUGGGAAGACCGGCUUCAUUUCCCUGACUAGGGGCUAAAAUGCAAGCGAGGAAAAUCAUAUUAGAAUGUGUGGACGUUCAAAGAAAUACGACGUAACAAGUUCACUUUGUAUUUCAUGUAAAGAACCCUUCUCACCUGGUUGCAGCUGCAUCGGCCUCUGCUGCGGCCUCAGCUGCUUUUCAGGAACAAGAACAAUAACAAAUAUGAAAAAUAAAACACAAAACAGUAAAAAAAAAACUACAUUCACUAAUUGUUUUGUGAAAAAAGUUAAGAGGCCUGGAAAGGAAAUCCUGAAAUAAAUCCUGAACUACAAAAGCUGCCGUGUUCACGGCCCUGAUAGGUCCCCUGAUUGUGUCCCUUUUCUGCUGUGUGAAGUCAGCGUAGGGCACCUUAUUUGUAGUGCACUACUUCUGACCAGGGCUCCCUAGGUUUGGUUUGGCAGGCCGUGAAUCAUUCUGCACCUCAGAGAGGCUGGUCUGCUCUCUGUGUUUCUCUGUGUCUCUCUGUGUGUCUCUGUGUGUCUCUCUCUCUAUAUCUAUGUGUGUCUCUCUGUGUGUGUGUCUCUCUGUGUGUCUCUCCGUGUGUCUGUGUCCCUCUCUCUGUGUCUCUGUGUCUCUCUGUGUGUCUCACUAUGGGUCUCUCUGUGUGUCUCUCUGUGUGUCUCUCUCUGUAUAUCUCUGUGUGUCUCUCUGUAUAUCUCUGUGUGUCUCUCUGUGUGUGUCUCUCCGUGUGUGUGUGUCCCUCUCUCUGUGUCUCUGUGUGUCUUUCUGUGAUUCUAUACUGAACCACUGGUUCAAUUCAACUAUCUACAUAAUUUGGACACACCUACUCAUUCAAGUGUUUUUCUUUAUAUUUACUAUUUUCUACAUUGUAGAAUAAUAGUGAAGACAUCAAAACUAUGAAAUAACACACAUGGAAUC
ensembl:lncRNA